GGCAGCAGGCGCGCAAAUUACCCAAUCUCAAUACGAGGAGGUAGUGACAAGCUAUAGUGACUCCACACCAUUCGGUGGGGAGGUAUUGUCUUCUGACGAUUUUCCAUGAUUUGGGUGUAGAUAACCCUUAGAGUAGCCAUUGGAGGAAAAGUCUGGUGCCAGCACCCGCGGUAAUUCCAGCUCCAAGAGCGUAUAUUAAUACUGCUGUAGUUAAAACGCCCGUAGUAUACCUAAGAGUGGGUGUGUAGUAAUUAGUUUUGCCAGAGGACGGUUGGCGAGAGUUUAUCACUCUUGUUUACCUACUUUUGGUAGACUUUAGUCGGGCUGGACCUUUGGUCCUCGUCUGACAGUUGCUACGUGCUUACUUACCACGGUUCAUCCGUGAGGCCCUUGGCUUGCAACUGUAAAUAAAUCGUUGUGCUUAAAGCGGGCUAUGAUACUCUGCCAGAGCGAUUUAGCAUGGGACUGCAGAGUAGCUGUAUUUGAGUGAAGGUUGCACCUCGGUGUGGCUGGAGCUUGGUACAGCGCUUGUAAUGGAGCUCAGGGUGAGGCCCCGGGUACCAUGAGGCUAGAGGUGAAAUUCUGAGACCCUCAUGUGACCAACUAAGGCGAAAGCUGUCGUGGGCCACCACAAGCUCGUCUAUCAGGGACGAAAGUUGGGGGAUCGAAGACGAUUAGAUACCGUCGUAGUCCCAGCUAUAAACGAUACCAACCGAGUAUUUGGGAAGACACUAUCCCAGCGAUCUUCUCAGAACUCAGGGAAACCUUAAGUCUUUGGGUUCUGGGGGGGAGUAUAGUCGCAGACCGAAACUUAAAGAAUUG
rnacentral:rRNA from 1 species